CUACGGCCAUACCACCCUGCACAAGCCCAAUCUCGUCUGAUCUCGGAAGCUAAGCAGGGUCGGGCCUGGUUAGUACUUGGAUGGGAGAAGUGGUAUUUCAGGGACCAGGUAGU
rnacentral:rRNA from 1 species